GAUGCUUCGGUUAGCUUUCUGUUCUAAUGAGUGAUUCUUGUACUCAAACUGUCUGUCGUCUCUGAGGAUGGAAUACGUGUACACUUGCGAAGCAUGACUACUCCACUUGAGCGAGCUUCCUGGCAUGAGAGGGAAAACUGAAAAACGUGCAAACCAGAGCAUGAAAGGAUCCCAUGUUUCUCUUUGAGAAAGGCUGACGUCAUGUGCCCAUUGCAAAAUCAACACCAUGGUUAAACACUCUUCAGGAUGACAGUGCAGAGCAGAAGCCUGGCCCAAACCACAAGCCCUGGAACAGGUUCAAACCAAACACAGACAGGAAACCACCCACCCAGGAACAGAGACUUUAGGUGCUUCAAGCAAGAGGGGAGUGUAACCAAGGACUGCCACUUCACUCUCCUUCAUAUGCUUAGCCGAACUUAGGAAAGGAACUGCAGGGAUGGAAAUGAAGAGGAGCCUGAGGAAAUGAAGGUCCAAGGACAGGCCCAAAGUAGGAUCCAGCUCAAGGGGAGGCCCCAAGGCCUGACACUAUUACUGAGGCUAUGGAGCGUUCACAAAAAGGGACCCUGUCAUGGCCACACUCCAGAAGACCCAACAAGAAGCUGAAAGAGACUGGGCAUUCUAUUGGGCUCAGUGUCUCCAUCUUCUGAUGAAACCAGGAUCACAUUAUUCUUAAGAAUAUGAUAGAGGGCAAGCUUAAGCGGAAUCAGACAAGUACAUUUUAGAUCCCCACCCCCACCCCUUAUUGUGAUUUGCUUCCGGAACCAAGAUGGUACAAAGUCAAGAAACAGAUGUAAAGGCUGCCCAAGAGUGUCCUAAACACAUGAGCAUUUGGUUAUAGAAAUGCUGAAUGAGAAAAUGAGAAGGGAAACUAGAAAUGCUGGAGUGGUCCUGAGGAGACAGGCAAGCCUGGCUCCAAUAGAAAGGGAGAGAGGGAAAACUAGCUGAGAGCAUCCUGGGAGAUUCUGCAAUCAACUGCAAUUGAACUGUGAUCUAAAGCUGCAAUGCCAAGCCCAGCAAGGAGUCUUCAAGCCAAAGGACCUAUGUCACUUCUUGUUGGAGAUCAUUGGCUGAGAUUUGCUUGUUCAUAGGAAGCAUUGUCUCAGAAUAGAUGCACCAAUUAAUUUAAUUUAAUUUAAUUUUUUGGGUUUUUCCCCAUUUUUUAUUGGAUAUUUUUUAAUUUACAUUUCAAAUAUUAUCCCCUCUCCUAGUUUCCCCUCCCCAACCCCUUAUCCCUUCCCCCUACCCCUGCUCACCAGCCUAUCCACUCCCGCUUCCUGGCCCUAGCAUUAAGGGCCUCUCCUCCCAUUGAAGACCAACUAUGCCACCCUCUGCUACAUAUGCAGCUAGAGCCAUGAGUCCCACCAUGUGUUUUCUUUGGUUGGUGGUUUAGUCCCAGGUAGCUCUGGAGAUACUGGUUAGUUCAUAUUGUUGUUCCUCCCAUUCAUUUUAAACUGCAGUAACCAGGGCCAGAGGUUUGUGGUAGAUUAUGUUUCAAGGACAUUGGCUAUUCAUGGGUUGGAUUCUCAAGGAUGCCAUACAGGUUCAGGUCAGACUGUAAAGGUAGGUCUGCCUCUAUAAUGAGAGAAACAGAAGGUACAGGAAAGGGCAAACAUUGUGACAUUCAGUGCAUUAAGUCUAGGAGAAGAAAGGAAGAAAACACAAAGAGUGAGGCAAGAAAGAGAAUCAGCCAAGGAAGAGUGGAUGGCCAAAGUAGUUGCCAUUGUGACAGCCUGGUGCUUCAUUUACUCCAAAUGCUCUAGAAGACCAUUAUAGAGGAACACAGCCAAAGGGCAAGGUUGACAGCAGGGUUCUCUGCUUUCACAUGGCACAGCUCCCAGUGUUUGGAAACAGAGCCUUUCCUAUUCCAGGCCAGGAUCUCGUCUGGCCUGCAGUUAGAGGCAUCAUACUCAGCUCACACCCUCCGGUGUGUCAAUGACCUUGAAAUACAAUGCAGAGAACGUAAGAGAUUCUUCUUGACAGUGACCAUCCUCGAUCCAGAAAGCAUACUUGGAGAAUACCAAGUCCGGGUCUUUUCAUCAACUCGAGGUCAACUCAAUUUCCAUAUCAUCUGGUGUCUUAGGGUAUCCAGGACUUGGUGUUGUGGGACAACUGGGUUCUGAUGAUGCCAAAUAGCCUUGGCUUCUGUUGAUGGUAUUGGAAGUGGAAAAGAAGAUCUCAUGUAGCAGUAGUUCUUGGCUCCCAGGAAAACACAAUGACAGGAAAGACAAAGGCUGUCACUACAUCUGUGCUAUUACUCCUACAUCUCACAGCUCAGUUCCCCUGUCCUUUUAACUUCUGUUUUUCAUAAAUUGUGACACCUCUGAAGUAAUGGUCAUUUGGAUUGUUUUAUUUCAUCACUAUCCACAAUCUGUAAUCUACAAAAGUCUUCAUUAUUGACAAGUGACCUUUGUUUAUCUUUAUGAAUUAAAAUCUACAAACAAAGGAGCUGUCCAGAACCCAUAGUUACAUUAGAAAAAAACACACACAAAAGAAUGGAAUUCAACUCAGAGGGAAUGGUGGCUUCACCCAGUCUCUUCUAAUGAAACUACUCCUUCGGAAAUGUGUUUGCCCUAACACAGCACUUGGCCUGCAAACAGUGGCACUAUUAAUGUAAAUUAUUCCAGUCUUGUGGUUUGAUAGAAAGAUUAAUGGUCUCGAAGCUCAAAGAUAAAUGCUGUGCUUGUGUAAUGAGGUCAACAAUCACCAAAGGCCACUGGAGGCCUCUGACAGGGAAAAACCAGUGGUUAAGAUCUGUAUGUUGUUAGCUCAUCUGGGUGAUGUGACCCUGGACUCUGAUGCUUAGAAAGCCAGCACCAGCUACUGAAUCUGCUAAUUAACUCUAGCAGCUUCCAGGUUCUCUUGGGACAUCGUAUCAUCUGUCCCUCUUAAAAAAUUAAAAACUGAACCACAUCAGUAGAACUCAAAAGAGAUAAAAUCUACCUUUAAUAAUACUCCAUUAAACUAUAUACUCCUCCUGCUCUUUGUUCUAAUAUAUAUGACAGUAUGCCACUAAAUUCAUGAGUCCUAUGUUUUGCUCAGUUUCUAUUAUGAACUAUAACUUUUGCUUGAUGAUCAAUUUAUUAUUUGUACUCCCUAUAUAUUAUUGUAUUGUCUAAUUUUUGUAUUUAUUAACACUCAUACUGUGACUAACAGAAAUCUAUCCCAAAAUAUCUUAAGAAUAAAAGAGUUCUUUGACUUCCAUG
ensembl:lincRNA Gm19619 predicted gene, 19619